GCUUUCGUAUUUUUUUGGUGGAGACGGGGUUUCACUGUGUUGGCCGGGCCGGUCUCCAGCUCCUAACCACGAGUGAUCCGCCAGCCUCGGCCUCCGGAGGUGCCGGGAUUGCAGACGGAGUCUCGUUCACUCAGUGCUCAAUGGUGCCCAGGCUGGAGUGCAGUGGCGUGAUCUCGGCUCGCUACAACCUCCACCUCCCAGCCGCCUGCCUUGGCCUCCCAAAGUGCUGAGAUUGCAGCCUCUGCCUGGCUGCCACCCCAUCUGGGAAGUGAGGAGCGUCUCUGCCUGGCCGCCCAUCGUCUGGGAUGUGAGGAGCCCCUCUGCCUGGCUGCCCAGUCUGGAAAGUGAGGAGCGUCUCCGCCCGGCUGCCAUCCCAUCUAGGAAGUGAGGAGCGCCUCUUCCCGGCCGCCAUCACAUCUAGGAAGUGAGGAGCGUCUCUGCCCGGCAACCCAUCGUCUGAGAUGUGGGGCGCGCCUCUGCCCCGCUGCCCCAUCUGGGAUGUGAGGAGUGCCUCUGCCCGGCCGCCCUGUCUGAGAGGUCAUACAGUCAGAAGUCCAAAAUCAAGGUGUCCACUGGAUUGGUUCCUUCUGAGGGCCCUGCUGGAGAAACUGAUCCAUGCCUCUCUCCUAGCUUCUGGUGGUUGCUUGCAAUCUUUGGAGUUCCCGGCUUGUAGCUGCGUCACUCCAGUAUCUGCCUCCAUCUUCACAUGGCAUUCUCUUUUGUGCGUAUGUGUCUCCUCUGUGUCCAUCUCCAAAUCUUUACAAGGACAUUGCCAUUCAGGAUUAGGGCCCACUCUAACCUAGGAUGACCUCAUUUUAACUUGAUUACAUAUGUAAAAACCCUACUUCCAAAUACUGUUCAUAGGUACAGAUGUUAGGAUUUCAAAAUAUAUUUUCGAGAGAUGCAAUUCAAACCACAUAAGCCAAUAUAUUUAUUAUGUUUUAAAACAUGCUGUGUCAUAAUUUCUAUUAAUUGCAGCUGAAACUAUUCUAUUCCAGACUCCCUUUCUUACCCUGCCUUCCAAAUUUGGGGCACUGAUCUUUAUAUUCUCUUAGAAAACGGCGUUUGCCAUCAUAGUACUUAAUUAAUUGUGUGCUGGUUAUUUUGAUUUGUGAUUUUUUAUUAGUCUUAGCAUGCAGUUGGAGAAUUCCUUUUACCUAUCCCAAUCACAAUUCUAUCUACAACACUUAGUAGAAAACAUGACUUAUAUACUUCAUGAUAUAUAAGUAUUUUUCUGAAUAAACAAGUUAAAUAAAAUUUAAGAAAUAUUUAAAAGUAGGAAGUGCCUUUAAAUAAUACCACUACCCAUGGGAAAAUACUGUUAAUAUAUAUUGGGCAAAUCCUAGCACUUUUAUGCAAAGUUUUUUAUUCCACAAUUGUCAUAUUAAUUAUAAAAGUGUGUGUCCUUUUUUCACUUUACAUAAUAAAAGAAACUUUUUUAUAUUAUUG
rnacentral:lncRNA from 1 species